UACAGAGGUCUCAAGCGUUGUUCGGAUUCAUUGGGCGUAAAGGGUGUGUAGGUGGCGCGCUAAGUCGGGGUGUGAAAUUUCGGAGCUUAACUCCGAAACUGCAUUCGAUACUGGCGUGCUUGAGGACUGGAGAGGAGACUGGAAUUCAUGGUGUAGCAGUGAAAUGCGUAGAGAUCAUGAGGAAGACCAGUGGCGAAGGCGGGUCUCUGGACAGUUCCUGACGCUGAGGAGCGAAAGUGUGGGGAGCGAACAGG
rnacentral:rRNA from 1 species